ACGAACGCUGGCGGCGUGCUUAACACAUGCAAGUCGAACGGGCCCGCCCCUGUUUUUGGGGGUGGGUUGAGUGGCGAACGGGUGAGUAUCACGUGAGUAACCUGCCCCCUGCUCCUGGAUAACUGCUUGAAAGGGCGGCUAAUACGGGGUGUGCCGGCUGGUCCGCAUGGGCCUGGUCGGGAUAGUUUCAUCUUCGGGUGUUUCGGUGGGGGAUGGGCUCGCGGCCUAUCAGCUUGUUGGUGGGGUGAUGGCCCACCAAGGCGGUGGCGGGUAGCCGGCCUGAGGGGGUGGGCGGCCACACGGGGACUGGGACACGGCCCAGACGCCUGCGGGAGGCAGCAGUGGGGGGUAUUGCACAAGGGGCGGAAGCCUGAUGCAGCGACGGCGCGUGAGGGAUGGAGGCCUUCGGGUAGGGAACCUCUUUCGCCGGUGGUGGAGGCCCUGUCCGUUGCGGCGGGGUUGACGGUAGCCGGGUAUGAAGCGCCGGCUAACUACGUG
rnacentral:rRNA from 1 species